GUAUGGCUGUUCGCCAUUUAAAGUGGUACGCGAGCUGGGUUUAGAACGUCGUGAGACAGUUCGGUCCCUAUCUGCCGUGGGCGCAGGAAAUUUGAGAAGAGUUGCUCCUAGUACGAGAGGACCGGAGUGAACGAACCUCUGGUGUUCGGGUUGUGUCGCCAGACGCAUUGCCCGGUAGCUACGUUCGGACAGGAUAACCGCUGAAAGCAUCUAAGCGGGAAGCCUCCUUCAAGACGAGAUUUCCCUUAGGACUUGAUCCUACUAAAGUGCCGUUCAAGACGAGGACGUUGAUAGGCUGGGUGUGUAAGCGUUGUGAGGCGUUGAGCUAACCAGUACUAAUUGCACGUGAGGCUUGACCAUAUAAUCAUGGGUU
rnacentral:rRNA from 1 species